GAAACAUUUGGCUGGCAGAUGCCAGAGGUGACACUAAAAAUAUGAAAAUAUUGAUCGAUCUGAGUAUGAAAGUAACUGCAGAAAGAUGAUAUAGUUUUCUGUCAUUUAUUGGCUUCAUUUGUUUUUUUAUGUUUUCUCAUUGUGAAAGGUCUAAAAGAUUAGAAAGAAAGAGCAACAUUCAGAUUUUCAACGACAGAAAGUAAAGGAUGGGUUUUAACUAAUAAUGAUAAGUCAUUUAGUGGUGUUACAAGUAGAAACGUUUAACA
rnacentral:misc_RNA from 1 species